GGAAAACAAGUCAACUAAUUGCACUAUACAAGACAACUGGUGUGAAUCUCGCUGGCUGAACAGUUGGGAACUGCUGGCUUUCAGCUCUUGAAGGAUUACAGCCAGCUACAAGGACUUCCAUUCAACACCUGUCUACAGACCACAGAGGGAGUAAAAGGCAUCCAUGGAAUGCAAAAGAAAAAUUUACUUUGAAACACAGUUAAUCAGUACCAGGAAUCAGGCAUCAUUCAGAUUUUCAUUUCUGAUCGUGGGAGACUGCAUAUUGUGGGGCCUCCUACUCUGACCAAAGUUAUGAGGACAUAUUGGUGUGAUGCCAGGCAACAACAGCAUCUCCAUCUCCCUCCCCUUGUGCAGAUGCAGUAUUUCAGCAAGGUGCCCUUCAGCAAUUGGAUGAUAUCUCAAACAUCACAAUUUCAGAUCCGACAGCUAAUUUUUUUUAAUUUCUAAAUUGAAGCAAUAACUAUUUACUCAACUGGGCAAUCUUCACCACUCUCUUCAGUAAAUUUCUUCAAUUUUAUUUUACUUUGUCAAGUUUCUUAAUAUUGUAUGCAUUCAUGGAGAGGGAAAGAGAC